GAGAUUAUAGCUCAGUGUUAGAGCACGUGCUUAGCAUGCAUGAGGUCCUGGAUUCAAUCUUCAGUACCUUCA
rfam:Camelus ferus unplaced genomic scaffold scaffold160, whole genome shotgun sequence.